GGAGGGCCAGAAGCAGCCUUGGGCCACCACUCCAGUUCCCAUAGAGAGAAUGGAACUACCGGUGGCAACAAUCAUCACCCAACUGAGUUUUGAGCACCCACUUGGCAGGAGGCUAUCUAUGUACUUGGAGGGAAAGGGGGAAUGGAAGUCAUUUGGGCCCUCUGGGAACACACAAUGUGGGGAACACUCCCAGCGCCUGAAGCCCUGACACAGAACUCUGUCUCCAAAUUGAGGUGACCACUCCCCACCACCAACUCAACUUGGGAAAGGGGAGGUCACAUCCUCCUCUCAUCCCUCAACACCCUUCUUCCAGGUAUUGCUACCUCCCUUCCCCUCCUGCUAGGCUGCUGGCUGGCCGGCUGCUGAGGAAGUGUCGCUGCUGGGUGUACGGAGCUCCAGUUCCAGGAGGUGCCGCACAGAGUGAAUUCAGAUCUCUACCACCAACUAGCUGAGUAUUGGUUUGGGUCCCUCAGCCUCUCUGAGCCUCUUUUUUUUUUAAUGUUUAUUUAUUUUUGAGAGAGUAGGGGAGGGGCAGAGAGAGAAGGGGACAGAGGGUCCAAAGCAGGCUCCCCACCAUCAUUGCAGAGUGCCAUGCCAUGCUCGGUUGGAACCCAGGAACAGUGAGAUGAUAACCUGAGCCAAAGUCUGACGCUUAACCAACUGAGCCACCCAGGCGCUCCUCUCCGAGCCUCUUUUGAGCCUCUUUCCUCUUCUGUAUCAUGGAGAUAUUAAUGAUGGUGUUGUCUUCAAGAUUAUGUGAAAUGACCUGUAUGAAGCCUUUGGCUUAGUAUCUGGCAUUUGAAAGGUGCUCCUAACGGUAACCGUAACGUGAGUGAGUGAAAGUAGACAAACUCAUGAGACUACUUCUGGGAGGAUGCCAUAUUGGAGAUUUCAAACUUUAUUCCGAGAAAAUUGGAAGCUCUUAAAAGAUUUCAUCCAGGGGCAUGGCAUGCAUCCUUGUGUUUUACACUGAUUUUUCUGCCAGCUUCCUGGAAAGUGGAUGGCAGGAGCAGAGACUGCGAGCGUGGGGCACAGAGACCAGUUUGCAAGCUGCCAUCAGUGGAGAUAUAAUAGGAGCUGGGGCAAUGACAGCAGGAAUGAAAAAAGAGGACACGCAAAUAAUACCUACCAUUUGGGGAGCAAAAGCAAUUUGCUUAUUAUAUUGCCUCUCCUUUUCAUACCAUAUGUGGGGGUCUUACCCUAUCGUAUGAAUAAGAAAAUUGAAGUCACCGAGGAAAUGAAAGAGCUGGAAUUUGAACCCUUUUCCACAUGCGUGGAGAGCCUUAGUCAUUUCCUUCCUCAGUAUCACUUUUAUGUCAACACUGCUUAAGACUCAAGAACAAGGAGAUGCGGGGCUGGCUCCAUCAGAAGAGCAUGCCACUCUUGAUCUGGAGGUGAUGCUCAUGUCGAACCUUCGAUGGCGUCCACAGUUCUCUGCACGCUUUCAACACCCACAGUCCAGUAUAAGGGCGGACUGAGGGCUAAAGGAACUGCCGUGUGGUCUACCUGCGCCCCCUACCUUAGACUUCAGUGCUCUCAGCUUCAAGGAUAAAGAUACCUAUGCUCAGCGAAGUCUAAGGAACCCAAGUCGCAAAACAGAAAUAGAGGAACAGCAUCUCUGGGAGAACAACACUAGGGACAGAGGCUGGACACUAGAGAUGGGCCCCUUGGAAGGACUACAGCCACAAGACAGGGAAAUGGCUGGGCCGACCGUGCCUCGUACAGCAGGCAGUGGCCUUGCAGCCUCAAGACCUCAGCAUUAGAUAUGGGCAUUGGGUAAGCAGGUGUGGCCUUGGAAAUGGGCAUGUCAUGGUGGACAAGCUUUCAUUGGACUGCACUUCACCCAGUCAGCUUCAGUGUCCAGCCUUGUCCCAGGAGAUACGAGGAGAAACCAAGUCCCAAUUCUCAAAUUACUUGUGUUUUAGCAAAAUAUCUUUUGGUCCAAAUAAUUAACACAAAUUGCUAUGGAUUGAACAUCUACUGGGUGCAAGGCAGCCUAUGUGCAUGUUCUCACUUAAUCCUCACCUGGGGGAGGGGUAUCAUUCUAGAACUCUGGUGUACCUAAGUCUUCUUAGGCGACUCUUUCUGUUGUCGCCUGAAGGCCAAUCCUAGCAUGAAAUUAAUGUAUAGGAGGCAAGGGUAUGGUUAUAAAUCUCACGCUAGGAACAUUAAAAAGCAAGAGAGGUCUUUCCUGCAGGUUUCUUAAGGAGACAAAGUGGUGUCACAACAAACAUCAAGAUACAAGGCUUCCUAGGUAUCCACUUAAAACAUCCCUUUUUCUGAAUUCCACUCCAGACAUCACCUUCACACAUUUCUACAGAGGCCUCCUCAGCAUCUCUCUCCCUCCUAUGAUACUCCUCCAGCUCCCCCUACCCCCACUUCCCAAGUCCUUCCCUCUAGGGGUCUCCCUUAAUUUUAACUAGCCAUCUCUCAGUGACCCCAAAAGAUGUGAGGAAAAGAGUAGGAAGCUGCAAAAAAAAAAAAAAAAAAAAAAAGACAAUGCCCAUGAAUAUAGAUCUUUACGUUUACAAAUGGCUUGCAUAUACAUUAUCCCACCUGAGCCCUUUUCAGACUCAGAAUAACCUGAGAAAACUGAGGCUCAGAGAUAAAGUGAGUUGCUUGAAGUCCACUAGUGAGUGAUGAGCUGCACCUUGAAACCUAGGCCUCUUUCCUUCAGACUACAUCUGGCCCAGGGCUGCAAAUGCCUGGACAAGCCCAUCAAACUGUCAAUAACACUUCCCCAGCUACAGCUGCCAAAACUGUCGCCCUGGUGCCCCAGGGCAAGACUCAAGCCAUGCCCAGGAGACCGAGUCACCAGCAAUGGAAGGAAGUACAGGGACGAAAGGACUCAGAAAUCAAAGAUACUUGUAAUAAAUGCCUUCAAAAAGAUCCAGGAAAUUGGCUUCUCUCAAGUGACUUCUAUCAAAACCAAGGUGCAAAGUCCUGUGUAUUUAUUACCUGAGGAUGACCUUCUGAAUAACCCACAAAUAAUGGUCAGGCUUCUUGCAAGAGAGUGUGUGGGUCAAGGAAAUGUUUUUGAAAUUAACAAAUGUUUUGAGGGGAAAAAGAAACUAUCCCAUGCCUGUUGGUGAUUUCUCCCAAACCUGUCUCUGUUUUGUUUUGUUUUGUUUUUUUCCUAAUUGUAUAGAUCAAAUUUGCUUUAGGAAAUUUAGAAAAUUCAGACAAGUACAAAGAAGCAAGGGGGAGGAAGAUAUUGUCAGCCCAUCAGCCACAGGCAGAAUUAACCUUUUGGCCUAUUUUCUUCCAGUUAUUUGCCAUGCAUUUUUCUACAACUUUUCAUAGUUGAGAUCAUGAUAUAUAAAAAUGAUAUCCAGCUUUUGUCCCCCAUUUAAAGCAUAACAAACAUUUCCUGUAUGUAUAUAAUAAUACAUGUAUUCAUUCCCUUUAGCCCUUAUUAGAUGCAAGGCAGACAUUCUUAGGCAAGUUGUUAGUGGUUUAUUGCACUAUUUGUUGGCUGUAUGAGAGACAGUUUAGGGGCUAAACUGACUCACUGACUCUGGAGUCGGGCUGCCUGGGUUUGAAUCCUGACUCUGCCACCUCUUGGUUACAUGACCUUGGGCAAGUUAAUUUACCCCUCUGGCUCCAUUUCCCUACAUAUAAAAUGAGGAUCGUAGUAUCUGCCUCACAGAGUAGUUCUAAAGAUUAAAUGAGUUAAUUACAUGAAAAGUGCUUAGAAUAAUAAAUGGCAUGGUAAGCGCUAAGUAGUAGCUAUUAGCAAUCUAUGGUAUAUGUGCUCACAUCAUAAAUUAUUCAGCUAUUCUCUUGCAGCUGGACAGUAAGAUUGUUUUCAAUUUUUCCACUAUUAUAGAUAGUCCUAUAAACCAUUUACUGCGUGCAUUAGUGGAGGAAAGGCAGAUUGAAACUCUGCUGUGGAAAAAUUCAAAUGCCAAGAUAAGGUAUUGAGAAAUUCAGGAUAAAUGACCCAGGAGAAAAACUCUCCUUAGAAGGAGGUAUCCAGUCACCUUGAAGAGAUGACAUUUAAUUCUAUGGCAAACAUUUGUUGAGCUCUGUGCACCAGGAAAGGGUCUUGGCUAGAUCAGGGAACAGAGACGAAAAGGGGACACCAAGACAAACAAGAGACAAGACUGAAUCUCAAGGAGCUUUAUUCAGUUACAAAAAUAUCACAUUUGUUAUGUCCAGGAGUGAAUUUUCACCAUGACAUAUCUCUAUGGUUCACUUAGGUGGACAGGGAUUACAAAACGCCUGAUUUCAAAGGACCAAUGCAGUAGGAAAUACAGAGACAGCCAGUCUUCCUUCACGCCCUUAUGGAGAGGACUUGAUCAAGAACGCCUAUUUCACAGAAGAGAGGCGCCUGGGUGGCUCAGUCGGUUGAGUGUCCAACUUCAGCUCAGGUCAUGAUCUCACAGUUUGUGAGCUCGAGCCCAGUGUCGGGCUCUGUGCUGACAGCUCAGAGCCUGAAGCCUGCUUCAGAUUCUGUGUCUCCCUCUCUCUCUCUGCCCCUCCCCAGCUCCUGCUCGCACUCUGUCUCUGUCAAAAAUAAAUAAACUUAAAAAAAAUUUUUAAAAAGCCACCAACCAUGCCUAAGUAUAGCAGUGCUGCAUGGCCAGGGGAGCCCUCUCUCCCGAUAUUGUCCUGAGUGAGGGACUCUUUGCCAAGCAAUUGUGAGGUUCAGAUGGUUCAGACAGGGCUGCAGCCUCAGCCACAUUCUUGCUGACUCUCAUCACCUAUAGUUAAUGGGCUACAAACAGCUGGACAAUAACCUUUUGGGAAAGGCCACAUUUCCCAUCACUGAGAUAGUUCCUAAAGUUCAAAUGUCUCCUGCAAAGCUGCAUCAAUUUUCUAGCCCCUCUUUGUAUAGGGUACAACGCAAAACCUUUUAUACCAUGAGAAACCUGGGUAUACAGUUGCAACCUUACCCUGCCAGGAGUAGGUGUGGGGAUUGGUGAUUUGAAUUAAUCCAUAACCAGCCCUGCUAAGGGCUAAAUGUGUGGACAAUCAGAUAGGCAUUUGAGGAAGCACCGAUGAGGUUCGGUGCAGGAAGUAGCCUCUGAACAAUGUCACAUUAUCCAUUACAUUCCUUCUUCAAUGACAUCAUAAAGCACUCAACUGUCAAGUUCAAUUAGCAAGUAGGUGGUCUAUAAUGAUAAUUACAGUCUGUACCUCUCAACCUAAAUGGCUCAGAGCACCACAAAGUCAUGACUUGAAGGCCUUAGAAUGACUCCAUCCAGGAGGCAGGGACACCAGGGUAGGCCCGCUUACGUGGAAAAUGUGUGUGUGUUUCUAGAGUUUGGAGGAGGUGAGGUACAGACACUUGUACUAAAUAUAUACCAUUGUGUUUAAAGUGUUGUAUCACAUUGGCUUGGGGUCCUAUCAAACGAGCUGUAAUUGCAGGGAGCACGAGAUACCUUCUAUCACACCUUUUUGGCCAAUUCCUCUGUGAGGCCUUUCUCGAACUCACAGGAAGGAUGGAUAGUUAGGAAACUCAUUUCCUUGCCCAAAAUAGACACAAAGUUCCUAAGUUCACAUUCAGAGUGAACUACACAGGAGAGAUUUUUAUUUGUAGAAUCUGGGACUCAUGGUUGGGUUAAGAAGAAAGGGGCACAGUGCACCUGCUUGAUUUUAAUCUACUCCCUUUAAAAUGUGUUCCUCACAUAGAGGACUCCCAAGGCACUUUCCUAUACACCUUUCAAUUGAGGUCUAAUUUACAGAUAAAUCAACUGAGGCUUAGAGACUCAAAUGGCCUGCCAAAAAUGAGCCAGCUAAUAAGUGGCAAAGUUUGGACUAGCGCUGACAUCUUCUGCCUCUGUUACAGAUGCUAGUAAGAGGCCACAGGCAGCCCAGAAAAUAGAGAGAGAACCAAAGACUUAAAAAGCAGAAACUUCUAUGGUCCAGCCUCCCAUAACGAGGCGCCUGAGAGAAAUCAGGCCUUGCUCAUUAUUUUCCGACUUUUCAUAGUGGUCAGGGAUCAUUAGGCUGGGUUUUCAGCCUGUCUCUUCAAAGGGCUAAGAAAAACAUAUCAGGUGAUAAAUGGAGGUGGUAAAGAAUGGCCAGAAGCCUCAUGGAAUGUUCUUGUUUCUGCUGGGAAGAAGGAAGUCACUCAUCUGAGGUAGCUUUGUGUGACCAUAGACCCCUGACAAUACAUUUCCUUCACUUCAGCGUUUUUGGCACAGAGGGUAAGGAGGCAUUACUGCUUCCGAGAUCUCAUGAGCUAAAAAAAAUGAUAGUUCUCAGUUAUUGAUUACUGAGGUGAAAUGGAACAUGUUAAGAUUAGGAUCUGGAUAUUCCCAGAUGAUCUGAGAGAUAAUAAUGACCUCCUCAAACCACAGAACCGGGAACAGAGCUCUGCCACAGCUAAUCCGCACAAAGACCCUGUGCGUGCACGUCAUUAGCAGCAUUUGGCAACAAGAUAACUGAGGCUUAAGGAGUUUGAAUAAUUGGCCAAAGGCCACAUAUCUUGUAAGUGGCAGAGCUGGGGACUGAACCAACACGUACAUGACUUCAAAGCCACUCUUUAACCACUGUGCACAUCAGUUUUUCCUUGGAAGUGGAGUGAUGUGAGGUUGGUCUGACUCAUCUCUCCAUUAUCUCUGACUUGUUUAUACUUUUUCGUUUCUCUGAAAUGUCCUCUUCAUCUCGCUCUGCCUGAGUGAACACGACCCCUCCCCUAAGGUCUAACUCCAGCCUGAGCUUCUGCAGGAAGGCUUGAGUCCCAAACCAUCUCUUUCUUCUCUAAAGUCUUAGAAACACUUGUAGAAUUUCCCAGGACUGUGGUUUUUUGUUGUUGUUGUUCAUUAAAUAUACAACUAUA